AGAGAAGCUUGCUUCUCUUGAGAGCGGCGGACGGGUGAGUAAUGCCUAGGAAUCUGCCUGGUAGUGGGGGAUAACGUUCGGAAACGGACGCUAAUACCGCAUACGUCCUACGGGAGAAAGCAGGGGACCUUCGGGCCUUGCGCUAUCAGAUGAGCCUAGGUCGGAUUAGCUAGUUGGUGAGGUAAUGGCUCACCAAGGCGACGAUCCGUAACUGGUCUGAGAGGAUGAUCAGUCACACUGGAACUGAGACACGGUCCAGACUCCUACGGGAGGCAGCAGUGGGGAAUAUUGGACAAUGGGCGAAAGCCUGAUCCAGCCAUGCCGCGUGUGUGAAGAAGGUCUUCGGAUUGUAAAGCACUUUAAGUUGGGAGGAAGGGCAGUUACCUAAUACGUGAUUGUUUUGACGUUACCGACAGAAUAAGCACCGGCUAACUCUGUGCCAGCAGCCGCGGUAAUACAGAGGGUGCAAGCGUUAAUCGGAAUUACUGGGCGUAAAGCGCGCGUAGGUGGUUAGUUAAGUUGGAUGUGAAAUCCCCUGGCUCACCCUGGGAGCUGCGUU
rnacentral:rRNA from 1 species